GUGAAUCAUCGAAUUUUUGAACGCAAAUUGCACUCCCUGGUAUUCCGGAGAGUAUGCCUGUUUGAGGGUCGUUGUAAUAAAAAUCGACUCAUCUCACUUUGUUUUGAGGGUGAUCGCGUCGGAAUUGAUCCGUCUUUCAAAUGUUAAUUCAUGACAAGGGGGCUUAAAAUUCAUCCAUCCGAUACGAUGAAAGCGUAUUUAAGAGCAAUUUUGAUUGAGAGCGCGCGAUGACUUACCAUCGCAUGUAGUACGUUUGACCUGGGGCAUCAGGUUCAGUCGUAUAC
rnacentral:misc_RNA from 1 species